rnacentral:rRNA from 1 species
GAUGAACGCGGCGGCGUGCCUAACACAUGCAAGUCGAGCGAGAAAUGAAGAGAAGAAACUUCGGUAGAUUUUCAUCAUGGAAAGCGGCGGACGGGUGAGUAACGCGUAGGCAACCUGCCCCGUACAGGGGGAUAGCCAUCGGAAACGAUGAUUAAGACCCCAUAAAGCGGAAUAUACACAUGUAAAAACCGUCAAAGAUUUAUCGGUAUGGGAUGGGCCUGCGUCUGAUUAGAUAGUUGGUAGGGUAACGGCCUACCAAGUCAACGAUCAGUAGCCGACCUGAGAGGGUGAACGGCCACAUUGGAACUGAGACACGGUCCAAACUCCUACGGGAGGCAGCAGUGGGGAAUAUUGCACAAUGGAGGGAACUCUGAUGCAGCAACGCCGCGUGAAGGAAGAAGGUCUUCGGAUCGUAAACUUCUGUCCAAAAGGAAGAAGGAAGUGACGUACUUUG